rnacentral:tRNA from 1 species
GCCACCUUAGCUCAGUUGGUAGAGCAAUGCUUUCGUAAAGCAGAGGUCCCCGGUUCGAUUCCGGGAGGUGGCU